rnacentral:lncRNA from 1 species
AAUAUUACAAAAAAUUUAAAUUAAUAAAAAAAUACUUUUUUUUCUUUCCCUCUUCUCCUUUCUUUUUUUUUUCUCUUCUCCUUUCCUUUUCUUUCCUUCUUUUUCUUUCUUUUUUCUUCUUCUUCUUUCCUUUUCUUUCCUUUUCUUUCUUUCUUUCUUUCUUUCUUUCCUCUCCUCUCCUUUUCUUUAUUUUUCUUUCUUUCUUUCUUCUUCUUUCCCUCUCCUUCUCUUCCC